rnacentral:rRNA from 1 species
AUACAUGCAAGUCGAGCGGCAGCGCGGGUAGUUUACUACCUGGCGGCGAGCGGCGGACGGCUGAGUAACACGUAGGAACGUACCCCAAAGUGAGGGAUAAGCACCAGAAAUGGUGUCUAAUACCGCAUGUGAUCUAAGGAUUAAAGCUUCGGCGCUUUGGGAACGGCCUGCGUUCGAUUAGCUAGUUGGUAAGGUAAAAGCUUACCAAGGCGACGAUCGAUAGCUGGUCUGAGAGGAUGAUCAGCCAGACUGGGACUGAGACACGGCCCAGACUCCUACGGGAGGCAGCAGUAGGGAAUUUUCCACAAUGGGCGAAAGCCUGAUGGAGCAACGCCGCGUGCAGGAUGAAUGCCUUAGGGUUGUAAACUGCUUUUAUCUGUGACGAAUAUGACGGUAGCAGAUGAAUAAGGAUCGGCUAACUCCGUGCCAGCAGCCGCGGUCAUACGGAGGAUCCAAGCGUUAUCCGGAAUUACUGGGCGUAAAGAGUUGCGUAGGUGGCAUAGUAAGUAGAUAGUGAAAGCGUGUGGCUCAACCAUACAUCCAUUAUCUAAACUGCUAAGCUAGAGGAUGAGAGAGGUUGUUGGAAUUCCCAGUGUAGGAGUGAAAUCCGUAGAUAUUGGGAGGAACACCGAUGGCGUAGGCAGAUAACUGGCUCAUUCCUGACACUAAGGCACGAAAGCGUGGGGAGCAAACGGGAUUAGAUACCCCGGUAGUCCACGCCGUAAACUAUGGAUGCUAGCUGUUAGAAGUAUCGACCCUUCUAGUAGCGAAGCUAACGCGUUAAGCAUCCCGCCUGUGGAGUACGGUCGCAAGACUAAAACAUAAAGGAAUUGACGGGGACCCGCACAAGCGGUGGAGCGUGUUGUUUAAUUCGAUGGUAAGCGAAGAACCUUACCCAGGCUUGACAUCCUGCGAAUUUUU